ensembl:snoRNA
GUUCAUGAUAAGUAGCAUUUCUUCAAUUUGAUCUGAUUGUAUUGAAGAAAUCCAGCAUCUGAGU